UACGGGGGGGGGCAAGCGUUGUUCGGAAUUACUGGGCGUAAAGGGCUUGUAGGUGGCCAACUAAGUCAGACGUGAAAUCCCUCGGCUUAACCGGGGAACUGCGUCUGAUACUGGAUGGCUGGAGUAUGGGAGAGGGAUGCGGAAUUCCAGGUGUAGCGGUGAAAUGCGUAGAUAUCUGGAGGAACACCGGUGGCGAAGGCGGCAUCCUGGACCAUUACUGACGCUGAGGAGCGAAAGCCAGGGGAGCAAACGGG
rnacentral:rRNA from 1 species